GCAAUGGAAUUCAAGUUAGGACGUUGAGCCAGAACUAUAGCAACGCAAGUGAAGACCAAGAACCACUCUGCCCCAGUCAAUAACUUGGCAUCGCAUGAGGCUCCUCCGCCACAUACAGUAUCGUAGAAAAGCUUCAUGGUCCUACUCCCUGUGAUUAUUAGGAUCACGCACGUGCCACCUGAUAGGUACAUCACUGGGAAUAUUGCUACCAGUUUCCCUAGCUUUGGACCAAAGGAAGCGAUAGCAAGUUGAAGAUAUCUGCUGCAACGGGGCCCGGGCAGUGCCUCGUGAAGGUGGACCAAAACCCAGAUCGUGUAGAGUUGCCACGCAAAUGCCAGCAAUAAACAUGUGAUUCCCCAUGACCAUCCAAGAGAAGAGAAGGCCAGAGGAAGUAGCAGAGCUUGAAAUCCAAUUCCUGAGGAAAGCAAAUGGAAUACACAACUGAA
rnacentral:misc_RNA from 1 species